rnacentral:rRNA from 1 species
ACGCUCGACACCUACUGGAGGCAGCAGUGGGGAAUAUUGCACAAUGGGGGAAACCCUGAUGCAGCGACGCCGCGUGAGUGAAGAAGUAUUUCGGUAUGUAAAGCUCUAUCAGCAGGGAAGAAGAUGACGGUACCUGAGUAAGAAGCCCCGGCUAACUACGUGCCAGCAGCCGCGGUAAUCUGAGGCGGGCUGGCAAGGC